rnacentral:rRNA from 1 species
UAAAACUCAAAAGAAUUGACGGGGACCCGCACAAGCGGUGGAGCAUGUGGUUUAAUUCGAUGCAACGCGAAAAACCUUACCACUCCUUGACAUGGAGAUUAGAUCCUUCUUAACGGAAGGGCGCAGUUCGGCUGGAUCUCGCACAGGUGCUGCAUGGCUGUCGUCAGCUCGUGUCGUGAGAUGUUGGGUUAAGUCCCGCAACGAGCGUAACCCUCAUCCUUAGUUGCCAGCGGGUAAUGCCGGGCACUUUAAGGAAACUGCCGGUGGUAAACUGGAGGAAGGUGGGGAUGAUGUCAAGUCAGCACGGCCCUUAUGGGGUGGGCUACACACGUGCUACAAUGGUGACUACAAUAGGUUGCAAUGUCGCAAGGCUGAGCUAAUCCGUAAAAGUCAUCUCAGUUCGGAUUGUCCUCUGCAACUCGAGGGCAUGAAGUCGGAAUCGCUAGUAAUCGUGGAUCAGCAUGCCACGGUGAAUACGUUCUCGGGUCUUGUACACACUGCCCGUCACGCCAUGGGAAUUGGCUUAACUCGAAGCUGGUGCGCUAAC